AACAGGACCCACAUGAACGGACGGCCUCAAUCACCUGAAACAGAGCUGUGCUCCUCCAACUCCUCCACUGGUUGUUGAACAGGCUGCUCCUCAAGUACAGUUUCUGUGACUGAGGUUGUUGUGAAGUGUGAACACUCAGUAAACUCUAUACAUUCUCGAAGUCUGCUGCCCCUGCUUCUUCUUCUCUGUAUUUUUGUGUAGGGUCAGAGGUCAGUGGUUCGAGACCCGUCGGCGUAGAGAUGGAGUCGAGCUUCAAAACGACAGAGUAUAAAUCUGGAUAUAAUUUACGUAUGUUUUGCCGUGUAUGGCGAAUUGUUAUGAAUAACUUGUAGAUGAAUACUGACUUCCGACCGUUUUCAUCGUUGUUUUAACUGGGCGUCGAACCGGUGAACCUCACAUCACCAACGGUUUCAACACGGUUGACAGUUCCGCAUUAACGGCAGACGGAUGCCCCGCCCCCUCCAAUCAAGGCGCAGAAGCAGUUCCAAUAGUUUCCAAACCCGGAAGACGGUCAGCCAAUCAGAGGGCCGCUGUGGUUCCAAUAUGGAGAAUCAGACUUUGUGGUGACUUCUGUCAUCCAAUCAGAGGCCGGAUUUGUUCCAAUAUUCCUCCAGGACCCUCCCCUGUCACUGGAACCUGCUGAACGGUGCGGACGGUCAGUGUUGGUUCCACCACCUCCACCAGAGGUGCUGUCACACUCACAUCCUCAACUACCUCCAUUUCUGCUGCUGCUUUGUCCAGUGUGGGCUAAAGAAGAUCAAGGAGACAGACACAGAGACGUAAAGAGGACUGGUAGGAGCCUGAACUACUUUCCUGCUGCAAAAGAACAGGACCCACAUGAACGGACGGCCUCAAUCACCUGAAACAGAGCUGUGCUCCUCCAACUCCUCCACUGGUUGUUAAACAGGCUGCUCCUCAAGUACAGUUUCUGUGACUGAGGUUGUUGUGAAGUGUGAACACUCAGUAAACUCUAUACAUUCUCGAA